GGCUACCGCUAUUGGAGUUCGAUUAAGCCAUGCGAGUCGCGAGUCUUAGGGACUCGGCGUACCGCUCAGUAACACGUGGGUAACCUGCCCUAUGCUGGGGGAUAACCUCGGGAAACUGAGAAUAAUACCCCAUAGUUCACCACGCCUGGAACGGUGGGUGGACCAAAGCUCCGGCGGCAUAGGAUGGGCCUGCGGCGUAUCAGGUUGUAGGGGGUGUAAUGUACCCUCUAGCCCUCUACGCGUACGGGUGUUGAGAGACAUCGCCCGGAGAUGGAUUCUGAGACACGAAUCCAGACCCCACGGGGUGCAGCAGGCGCGAAAACUUGGCAAUGCGAGAAAUCGUGACCAGGGAACUCCAAGUGCAUCGGGUAAGACCGAUGCUUUUCUUGACUCUUCAAAGGUCUUGGAAUAAGGGGUGGGUAAGGACGGUGCCAGCCGCCGCGGUAAUACCGGCGCCCCAAGUGGUAGUCGCUUUUAUUGGGCCUAAAACGUCCGUAGCCGGUCUGGUACAUUCGUGGGUAAAUCAACCAGCUCAACUGGUUGAAUUCUGCGAGCACGGCCAGACUUGGGACCGGGAGAGGUGUGGGGUACUCUCAGGGUAGGGGUAAAAUCCUGUCAUCCUGAGAGGACCACCUGUUGCGAAGGCGCCACACUAGAACGGAUCCGACGGUCAGGGACGAAGCCUAGGGGCACGAACCGGAUUAGAUACCCGGGUAGUCCUAGGUGUAAACGCUGUGGACUUGAUGUUGGGGGCGCUCCGAGCGCACUCAGUGUCGAAGCGAAGGUGAUAAGUCCACUGCCUGGGGAGUACGGUCGCAAGGCUGAAACUUAAAGGAAUUGGCGGGGGAGCACCGCAACCUGAGGAUUGUGCGGUUU
rnacentral:rRNA from 1 species